ACACGAGGAAGGAGGUGGUCUGAAAUUGAUUUCUAGGACACGUGAGGUGACCACCAGCUAACCGGCCGUUCUGUGGAAUGUUCUGUGCCUCAGGCGGUAUGGAGCUAAUCCACGGUGGUCACCGGACCCCGCACCUCGACCUCGUCCAAGGUCGGUCAACCCGCUUCUUGCGGGUGGUGCGGGGUCUGUUCUCG
rnacentral:sRNA from 1 species